GAUGAACGCUAGCGGAGGCUUAAUACAUGCAAGUCGAGCGGUAAGGUUUCGGACCCUAGAGCGGCGAACGGGUGAGUAACGCGUACGAAACCUACCUUUAAGANAGGGAUAGCCCUGGGAAACUGGGAGUAAUACCUCAUAGUAUUCAAUAACCGCAUGGUUUAUGGAUUAAAGCUGAGGCGCUUAAAGAUGGUCGUGCGUCUGAUUAGCUAGUUGGUAGGGUAACGGCCUACCAAGGCUACGAUCAGUAGGGGGCGUGAGAGCGUGGCCCCCCACACGGGUACUGAGACACGGACCCGACUCCUACGGGAGGCAGCAGUAAGGAAUAUUGGGCAAUGGACGGAAGUCUGACCCAGCCAUCCCGCGUGCAGGACGAAUGCCCUAUGGGUUGUAAACUGCUUUUGUUUGGGAAGAAAUGUAUUCUUUUAAGAGUAUUUGACGGUACCAGACGAAUAAGCACCGGCUAACUCCGUG
rnacentral:rRNA from 1 species